ACACGCAGGAGGCGUGACCCCUUUUUCCCAUGGCCGCGCGUGGUCCUUCCUCUCCAGCACCGUGCGCCCACCUGCUCCCUCUCCUCUCCCUUUUAAGCGCCUCGUGAUCUCCGCCAAACCCUAGCCCUCCUUCCUCUGGGCGCCGCCACUAUCUCCUCUUCUUCCCCAACUUCCUCUUUUUCUCUCUGUGAACAAACGAGAAACCCCUGUACACCACCGCACCUUCCCCUCCAUGGCACGGUCGAACCAGGCCACCCCUCGCCGAGCCGAGACCACCGGCGGAUGCGCCUCGUCGUCCUCUCCAUCCUCACGUGAGGAAUCGAACCAGAAUCUCUCCAAUCUCCCGCAAAAUCGCCAAUUCCGUUCAUGACCUGCCGGCGAGUUUCUUCGAUUUCGGCCGCUGCGGUGUACCUCUGGCCUCACCAACCCCUCCAAUGGCUUCCUGGUGAUGUUCUUGUUCCCCAUGACCUCUGGCUCUUCUCGUUUCUGCUCCUAGACGCGCCGCCGACGGUGACCAUCUUUUUGCCCCGCAGGACCUCGUCGCUGGCCGUUCUCCGGUGGUACCCCGCCCUCACCUCCGCCCGCCUCAGAUCCUCCACGUCGCGGCGCAUCUACGACGCCCUCUGCCUCGUCCCGCCUCAGCCUCCCUCGACAAAUCCGAGCUCGACUUGAUCUCAGCCAUGGCGUAUGUGUCUCAGACCUCGGCCUAAUUCUGGUCAAAAGUGCCACGCGUCUACUUCUAAUCAAAACCCAACGACCAGCUUAGUGAUCCGGCCCCGUUGAUGGGCUUCGACCCAGAUCCAUAGCGUGGCAGGCUGCAUCUCAUCACCGGAUCGGCCCACCAGCACCACCUCGCCAUGCGGCAGCAUUUGCUUCUUCUCGGAUAGGAUCGCGAAGUGGAGAUGUGAGAUACGACGAGUUCUCCGACAAGUUCUUCUGCAGCUUUCCACAGGCGAGCCCACCCCUUCACCUAUUUUACUUUUACAUGCUCUUUUGAUCUAUUGCUGUCCUUGUGUUGCGAUUCUGUUGUGUCACGUGUCCUAUCCACCUGUUACCUAUAUGUCCGAGAUACACCUCCUCGCCCUACCUAUUGUUUGUUGUUUGCCAGCUUUGCGAGUCGUAGGCGUGUUUAGGAUCUGUUGUUUAUCUCGAUCUGUUAUCGGGAUAUGUUGGGUUGUUGGGAGGUUUUUUACAUGCUAUAUCAUUUGUUGGAGAUAAUCACACUUUACUUUAUUGUUAACAACUAAAAUUGUAAGCAGAGGCAUCUGUGAGCCCCUUUGCGAAAGCAUCGGAACUUUGACUCGCUAAUGUCCCCUAGGACCCGAGUUCUUGUUAUCUGUUCCGAGAUUGAGCGCUCUACCCGUACGUGGGGGAAUGGGACCCCCAUCACCCACUACCUUUCCUCGAGUCUGUUUAUUGGGAGCCACAACCUUGGUUUUAUUUGCUCAUAUGCACGAUGCACGUUUUACUUCCUGUUGCCUUCGGGUGUUUAUUCCUGUACUGUACUCAUAACGCGGGACUCUUUAUCCUUGGCCGGUCGUUAGUGCCCGCCUUGGAAGCCGACGCAAACCUCUGGGUCCGUAUCGGAGUACGGCCGGACUUCGUCACGGGUAGCUUAGUUGGGUGGCUCCCAUUAAAUUUUCUCUUGCAUUGGGAACGGUCUUGAUGUGAGACUCCACCUGUAGUAAGUGGGUUCGAGCAUGCGUAUGGUUACAUUUGGGCAACCCCUGCAGGGUGUACAUCUUAUCGAUAAGCCGUGUCCGCGGUUAUGGACGACUUGGAAUUGUAUGGCUUGAUCAUAGAACAACUUACACCUUAUACUUGUUGUUAAUAAUCUGAUAAUAACUUGCGUAGUAGUAUAGCAUUACUACAACCGAUACCUAAUAAAACUGGUCCACCGUUGAGUGCCUUUUACAUUGCCUCUUCGCAAUUGUUGAAGGGGAUAUGUGUAAUCGGCUGGGUUAUGUUUGUGUAGUAUUUAUCUGUUACCUUGUGCGCUCUCUUAUCUUCUCUGAGUAGACGGAUGUUGUAGCGUGUCUCUAUUGGAUAGUAGCUUUGCUGCCGCUAAACUCCACAUAUAGCCGGGUGAAGUUUAUACCGCCCACCAGCGAGCAUAGCUGGUCUUGUCUCGCAAGUACGUGCCAAUGGUACUUACCCUCGCCUUCCUUUCUUUUUGUCUCCUCCCCCUUUUGUCGGCAACCGAUGGCCCGACUUUGACAGGUACGAGAUGAUGACGUUAGCAAGGUUACCCUUCCGGCUUGGCCUGGGCAGGGUUAUGGACGCCACUGGUUAUCUUCAGGACUCUUAGUCCAAUUUGUAUCUUGUCCGUACUCGGACGUAUUUGAUCUUCUGUAUGAUUCGGAUCUUUGUAUGUAUCUAUUUGUAUCUUGACUCGUUGGAGUCGUUGUUGUAAUAUAUGUUUCUUGUGGGCUCUAUUGUAAUCCUGUUGUAAUGUUA